UGUUAUUAAUUUCUUCGGCUGUUAGUGAUUCAAUAUUUUUCUGAAGGAGCUUCGUUUGUGGAAAAUUAGCUGCGUAAACCAAAUUAGCAACAGUGUUGAUGUCAACUGCUGCAACCACCUCACCAGAACAACUUUCUGAAAAAGCAUAAUGCAUGCCUCCGAUUCCACUAAACAGCUCCAACACCCGUAAUCCCAUGCUUCCGUGUUUAUAAACAGUUCAUACUCCGCAUUUUCGAAGCUGGUAAACACCGAUCAGGUUAUAUACUGCAGUUGCAUAAAGUACAUUUUCAGUUAUUA